GUUAAACUAUGUAACGCUGGUAACUGUGUAUUCAAAUCAUGUUUUGCAGGAGUUUUGCUCUUCUAUGUGUGGUACUCUUGUUGAAAUAAAUAACAAAGAAGAAAACAGAUUCAUAUAUUCAGCUUUGAGAGAAAAUGGUUAGCAAUAUUAUUCAAAUUAAUCUUAAAAUUAGAUACAUACCAUUGUAUUGAAAUUCUUUAGCAUAAUUGAACAACAAGGUAAAUCAAGUUUUUGCAUGCAACUUAUCAAAAAUAAAUUAAUCCAAGGGUUACAAAACAUAUUUUUCACAUGAGCAACAUGGCAUAUGUCACAUAUCUAACAUGAUCUACUUACCCUUUUGAAACACCUGAUAUCAACCCUGGUUUAUUGUGAGGUUCCAGUUUCUCAGUCUCUAGGUUUUUUUUAUGUAUUGGUUUGUUUACAAGUGUUUAUCUUUAGACAGUUUUUGAUUUUUUUUUUUUUGGCGUUAUCAAUUUGUGUUCGACUAAUGAGUUCAAAUGACUAUAUGAUUUUUUCCAACGAUAGAGGCGAUUCCGCCAAUUUAAAAGUGAACAUGAAAAGGUAUUAAAAAAUAUUUUGAAUCCGUUAAAAUAAAAACCGCCAGAAUAUUUCGUAGACCUUUUUCAAUUAAUAUCGCGAAAUUUUACACCCGGGAAAAUAAUCCGCUAUACGGUAUUGGAUGCAUCAUGUCGAGCGGGAUAUACUUACCCUUUCUGAAGCAAAUGUGAUCAAACCGAUUUUUUUUUAAGGUUUCCUGUUGAACUUGCCCUUGUUUCACAAUUGAAACAUGAACUCCAGAGACCAGCACACUAAGCUGUAUUACAUUGAACAGAAUAGUUGAGUUCACACAUUCAGUACAAUUUUAUUAACGUUAUACAACUCAAAAGCUAAUGCAAGCUUCUUUAAAUGUUGCGAAGAACCGUUUAUAAGUACAUAAAAUUUUUGAAAUAUUAAGGCUUUUCUACCUCAGGAAUAGAUUACCUUAGCUGUAUUUGGCAAAACUUUAAGGAAAUUUGGUCCUCAAUGCUCUUCAACUUCGUACUUUAUUUGUCUUAUUAUUUUAUCUUUGGUGGAUUCGAGCGUCACUAAUGAGUCUUUUAUAGACGAAAAGCGCGUCUAGCGUAAAUAAAUAAUGUUAUCCUGGCAUAUAUGAUGGUUUUUUUUUACAUUGAAGAUUACUCGUUGUGUAAAGAGUAAAUGAGUUAAAUUAGAAAAAUACCGAAUCCAAAUGAAAAUUCAAAACGGACAGUCCUUGGUUAUUUGGAAAAACUCAAACACAUCUAACCAAUGGAAAAUUAACUGUCAUGUUCAUGAUUUGGAGCAAAUCUAUCUAAAUUAAAAAGGCCCCUUGUUGAAAUCUUGUACUGCAUUCAUUUGGUACACAUCUCUACUUAAACGAAAAAAGUAGUUAACAAAGUAAUGAAUAGCUACAGAUAUAUCAAUAAGUCCAAAAAGUUAGAACUGUAUGACAGAUCCACCCAUUGGAUCAUUAGUGAGGGUGAUACACGACUGGAAAUAUAUAUAAUAGUCAAAAACUACUCUUAAUAUCGACAAAACACUGUUUUAAAUCUGCAGAGAAGUUUGGGUUUAGUUGUAUGAAUUUCGAGAUUGUUAUAGGUAAAUCAGAAUAAAUAUGUUUCAUUUUACGUCAUAAUCAUACUGAUAAAGGAAGUGUGUUAUUUAUGGAUACGUUAACAUUGACUGUUUUUUUUUAAUAUUAAUAUAUUGAUGUUUGUUUUUUGGCACACUUUGUAGGCGUUUGUUUUAUAUGCAUAUAGUUUGUUUUACUACUUGUUGUAGGUUUAUCCUAUCCUUUGAUUGGAUUAGAGUCAAGGAAUGGCAUAAGUUAUGAAUGGCAAUCUAAAAAUACAACCGACUCAAACAUGUUUAACGA
rnacentral:lncRNA from 1 species